UACGAAGGGGGGCUAGCGUUGCUCGGAAUCACUGGGCGUAAAGCGCACGUAGGCGGAUCUUUAAGUCAGGGGUGAAAUCCUGGAGCUCAACUCCAGAACUGCCUUUGAUACUGGGGAUCUCGAGUCCGGAAGAGGUGAGUGGAACUCCGAGUGUAGAGGUGAAAUUCGUAGAUAUUCGGAAAGAACACCAGUGGCGAAGGCGGCUCACUGGUCCGGUACUGACGCUGAGGUGCGAAAGCGUGGGGAGCAAACAGG
rnacentral:rRNA from 1 species